GACGAACGCUGGCGGCGUGCCUAAUACAUGCAAGUCGAGCGGACCAAAGGGAGCUUGCUCCUGGAGGUCAGCGGCGAACGGGUGAGUAACACGUGGGCAACCUGCCUGUAAGACUGGGAUAACAUCGAGAAAUCGGUGCUAAUACCGGAUAAAUAAAAAGAACUGCAUGGUUCUUUUUUGAAAGAUGGUUUCGGCUAUCACUUACAGAUGGGCCCGCGGCGCAUUAGCUAGUUGGUGAGGUAACGGCUCACCAAGGCAACGAUGCGUAGCCGACCUGAGAGGGUGAUCGGCCACACUGGGACUGAGACACGGCCCAGACUCCUACGGGAGGCAGCAGUAGGGAAUCUUCCGCAAUGGACGAAAGUCUGACGGAGCAACGCCGCGUGAGUGAUGAAGGUUUUCGGAUCGUAAAACUCUGUUGUUAGGGAAGAACAAGUGCCGUUCGAAAGGGCGGCACCUUGACGGUACCUAACGAGAAAGCCACGGCUAACUACGUGCCAGCAGCCGCGGUAA
rnacentral:rRNA from 1 species